UAUGUGAUGCAACUAGUUCAUACUUCUUUGUGGUGUUGACAAUAUAUUGAUCUUUUUGUUUGUGGGCAAUAUAGAUAUAGGUGGACCCAGGAAGGUUAGAAGGAAUUUAAAUGUAGAAGAGUUCAAUGCAUUUGCUAAACAUUAUGUAGUUAGUGAAGAGCAUGGAAGAUUCUCAUACAACCACAUUUUUCAUUGGUUUCAACCUGAAACUCAUCCUUGCAUCCAAAUAUGUAGUAAUGUAGUAGAUCCAAGCUAUAUAUCAGUUCAGUUCAUGUUGCAAUUCUUCACUCUUACACUGCAGAGUGGACAUAGUCUGGUGGUUAAGUCGACUGUACUUCUUUCUUUCAUAUAAUACCUAGUUGUCCCCUAAUGUGUGAUGAUGAUCUUCACCUCGGAAAAACGAGAGGAAACUUAAUUCACACAUUAUUAACAAAAAUGAUUUUCUAGUCCAGUCUGCAUUUCUGCUUCUAUGAAAGUUUGCUUGACAGCAUAUUAACAUUGUUGUGAACUGUGCAUAGGAGAGGGGCAUUCUUCAAGAAGU
rnacentral:misc_RNA from 1 species